GUCCUCGUGGAGUAGGGUAACUCACUCCCACUUGUUGUGGUGCGAUUAUGGUAGCAAAUUUGUGGGAGGGUCGGUGGUUCGAAUCCACCCGGGGAUG